rnacentral:rRNA from 1 species
GUAGGGAAUAUUGCGCAAUGGACGAAAGUCUGACGCAGCAACGCCGCGUGAGCGAUGAAGGCCUUCGGGUUGUAAAGCUCUGUCAGAGGGGAAGAACCGCCUUGUGUUUAAUAGACACAGGGUCUGACGGUACCCUCAGAGGAAGCACCGGCCAACCCCGUGCCAGCAGCCGCGGUAAUACGGGGGGUGCAAGCGUUGUUCGGAUUUACUGGGCGUAAAGCGCGUGCAGGCGGGUCGGCAAGUCCUGUGUGUAAUCUCCCGGCUUAACCGGGAAACUGCAUGGGAAACUAUCGAUCUUGAGUGCGAGAGAGGAUGGCGGAAUUCCUGGUGUAGCGGUGAAAUGCGUAGAUAUCAGGAGGAACACCGGUGGCGAAGGCGGCCAUCUGGAUCGACACUGACGCUGAGACGCGAAGGCCGGGGGAGCAAACAGG